rnacentral:rRNA from 1 species
UACGGAGGGUGCAAGCGUUAUCCGGAUUCACUGGGCUUAAAGGGUGCGUAGGCGGGUAUGCAAGUCAGCGGUGAAAUCCCCGAGCUUAACUUGGGAACUGCCGUUGAUACUAUAUAUCUUGAAUGUCGUGGAGGUUAGCGGAAUAUGUCAUGUAGCGGUGAAAUGCUUAGAUAUGACAUAGAACACCCAUUGCGAAGGCAGCUAACUACGCGAAUAUUGACGCUGAGGCACGAAAGCGUGGGGAUCAAACAGG